CCACAGUGGCCAGGCUGAGACAGCGUGUUUUUGAUGGUGAUUCAGGUUACUCCAGGGCAAAGCACGAUCCUGAUGACACUCGGCGGAAAAGCAGGCUGGAGCCACGGAAGAGCUGACCCUGGAUUGGAAGGACCCCAGGUCAGGUCUGAACUCCAGUCAGCAAAAG